AAUAAUAAAUCUAAGGCCUAGCAUUGGCCAAGUUUUAUUUAAUUUAUACUAGCCCAAGCUUCUAGAAGUAAUGAGCACUGGAAAUUGGACAUAUAUGGAAAAAGAAUUUACAUACAUUUAUUGUAGACAAAAAUAAAAAAUGUUGAAGAAGACAAAGAAUUCCAUAAAAAUGACGAGGACACAAUUGGCUAAUUUUACUUUGUGCACAAAACUUUGAAAAAAAGUCAAGGGCUUUCAGCUUCAGAAAAGUCUUGAUUUUCCCAGUUCACACACAGUCUUGUGAUGUAUGCAUCAUUAAUUUCUAUGCAGAAAACAUUGUUCACUUCAACUGGCAAUUAGUGGUAACAUUUCUAUCUUGUGUAGUGAUGAGAUUUUUAUGCUAAUCAUUAAACAGCAGUAAAUUAAUCAUUUGGGCACAUUUAGAUGGGAUGUAUAUUUCAUGAGACAGAUAUAGAUAUCAAGAUCAGUUUGAUAUUUACUCAGGGUAAAUGGAAGUGUCUCCGAUCAUUAUGAGGGAAGCAUACUAAGUAAAUAUACAGCCAGAAAUGUCUUCAAUGUAAAUGCAUAAGCAGCACAGCUUCACCUCUAGUACUAAGAAACAGCUCCCUUUCUCAUCAGCGUUUAAUUAUGGUAAGGAAGGUAAAAAGCCCAAGGGAUCAUACACUUAAAUCAUUCAGAGAUGCUACAAAUUUUAAACACCUUGACACACGAAGGACAAAACCAGUAACCUGAUUUCUCAUCCUAUAAUUCCUUCCAUUUAUUACUGAAAAAAUGUAUCCACCUUAAAUCAUGCAAUAUUGGAAAAGACUUUUUAAUCUUAAUUCGCACUAUAGUCUAGCUGGCUAAAUAAAUUAUGGAUCUGACUUGACCCUCCAUAGCCAUGUCUGAAAGCUUUUGACUUGUAGUAAAAAGGAAACUAUGUAAGUCCAUCCCCUCCUCUUAGCCGAUAAGUGAAGUCUGUAAUACCAUAUCUGAAAGAAAAUAUUUAUUUGGAAUUUAACACUGGUGAUGUUAUUUCAGUAUGUUUGAAUACCUUUCCUUUUUCUUUGAUUCAAAGCAAACAGACAUUUACAGGACAAGGUCAUCCUAGUGCAAUGUCAAUGGUAUUUUUGUUCACCUAAAAAAAACCAUAGGUGUAAUGCAUUCGUUUUAACAUGCUGUCAUGAUAUUUUAUCAGAAGACUAACUUCCUAGGUGUUACCUGUAAUAGAAAAAGAAAGCAAAAUUAUUUCUCAUCUCUGAAGGCGGCACAACAGGGUUCCUCAAGCAGAGAUUGGAGCCAGUAAAAUAAUUAAUUUUCUAAUGUACUUGAAUCAUCUGGCCAGAACAAAUGCUACCAAUUAGAAAAUUAAACCACCUCUUCAGAAAUCGAAUCGCCAACCACUGAAACAUCAAAAGUAUUUACAUA